UUCAAAAGAUAGGACUUCUGUGGAGGGAAUUCUAGUCUCAAAACAAAAAAAGAUAGAUGAUGGAAUGGUGCACAGUCUUCUAGAUGGACUGUCUAGACCUUCGUUUACUGGUUGACUUUGCUAAUCCCACACUAGCGAGCUUGAGGUAUUUGAAGUGGUUCCUUUCAAACUUCGUUGACUCUUGAGUUAGGAAGAGCGAGUGAAGACUGCCAUUAUUUAGCAACUAUGACUUGUGUAUCUUUCUUGUAUAUAUUUCCUAUUUAGUAGGAGGGGAAACAAUACAAGUUCAAAACAUGUUCAUCCAUUGUCUUUUGGAAUAGUACUAUAGAUUACUGCAUUUAAGGUCAAUCCUUGUUUGUUGGAGACAUUUGUAAUAAUUAGACUUGAGUAUUUGAAUGAAAAAUAUUUGUUGGAGGUUAUUAA